GACGGAGGGGGCAAGCGUUGUCCGGACUCACUGGGCGUAAAGGGUGCGUAGGCGGGUCUUUAAGUCAGGGGUGAAAUCCUGGAGCUCAACUCCAGAACUGCCUUUGAUACUGAGGAUCUUGAGUUCGGGAGAGGUGAGUGGAACUGCGAGUGUAGAGGUGAAAUUCGUAGAUAUUCGCAAGAACACCAGUGGCGAAGGCGGCUCACUGGCCCGAUACUGACGCUGAGGCACGAAAGCGUGGGGAGCAAACAGGG
rnacentral:rRNA from 1 species